CUCAGGGUACCAUGGUGAUGGGCACCAUAGAGAUGAGCAGAACAGACUUUUAUUGGCUCGUCUCUUUGUCCCAGUGUCCCUCCUCAACCCCCUCCACACACACAAAGCGCCCGGGUCAGUAGAUCCAGGAGAGAAGGAGGUAGUUAGUGCAACAGGCCCUGGGGGAGGACCGUGCCCAUUUGAUAGCUGGGGAAGCUGAGAUCCAGGACCCCUCGGGCUGUCUACAAGGUGACAAAAUUGAGAAGCAGGCCCACCAAGUCUAUGCAGUUUGGAAACUGGUCCAGCUGGAGGAAGUGAAUAAAGAAACAGCCAGGACUGGAGGCCUGAGCCCAGGCUGCAUCUCCUGCCCUGGCCCAUUUACUGACAGUCCACUGGGUGCCCCUGGCUACUGAAGCUGGAAAGAAAGGAACUGCCAGCACAGGCUCUCACCCAGUGGACCUUGAACUUUCCAACGAUGAUGGCGGGGCCGAAGGAGCGGGCCGGGUUCAUGGAGCAGCCGGUGAAGUAGAUCUGGGGGGCGAAUGUAGGUUCAGGAUGUUAGGGGGCUUAAGGCCCGGGAGGGGACAGCCCCCUCUGCCCCGACUCAGAGGCUUGGUCCUGGUCUUGGCCAUUGCAGCAUCGAAUCCCAGACCCAGACUGUGCGAACACAGCCUCGGCCUGACGCAUGAGGGGCUCGGGGAGGGACGCUUCCUGGCCUUUGGGGCCCCUGCGGCCUCCUCAGGGGAGGGACCAGUGUGUGCACGUACACGGCGCCCCCUUAGCCUCUUACCCCAAUGAGGUGGCCCAAUGACAGAGAGAUCCCGAUCAUGGUGGCCGGGGAGCCUGAUGUCUGACGGCUGUCGGUGGAAGCAAAAAUACAGAGCACCAGCUGCAGAGUCAGAACCAGCUCCACUGCCACGGCCUGGCCGGUCGAGGUGCUGCUCCGGACCUGGGUGAGGAGGCGGCGCUGGGAGUGAUGCGGCUCCGCCAGGGGAUGGUGGCCCCCUCCGGCUCACGUCCCCUCGCUGCUGCCACCGGUUCCUGGACUCAGGGGGUGGAGCGAGCAGAGAGCUGCGCCCUGGAGUCGGGGUCAGCCCUGGACGCUCUGUCCCCACAGAAGGGAGUGGGUGGCAUCCCUCCCUACCCACAGGUUGGCGGAGGGGGCACCCAGGACCCAAGUGGAAGGGAAGGCUCAGGGCAGCAGAGGGGUAAGUUUUCGAGCGGACUGGGAGGAGACCUGGGGAAGUAGGUGGAAGGCUAGAUGAGGAAUCUGGGGGAGUGAGGCAGACCUCGGGAUGCUGCGGAAGGAGGAACAUGGGUACCCAGGGGAGCAGGCCCAUGGGCAUGCCAGGUCCCCUGCGACCACCCGCAGCCCCAGGCCUCUCUGGCUACCCUGACUCUUCAGUGCCUGGUCCUUCCCUGACUCCUGCCCCUUGGUGUGGCUUCUAUCUGUCCCACCUGUUCCCUGUACCAUAGCCCCAUUCUCGCUCUGCUCACUAGGGCCACAGCCUGGGUCCCCGGGGGCCCGGGGCUCAGCCCUGAGCAGCCAAGGAGCAGGUGGCUGAGUUACUACCCCCCGGUCCCCUCUUCUCAGGCCUGGCCCUCCACCCUUACCGCCUGCGCGGCACCCCUGCACCUACCAUGUUAACCCCCAGGGUCUCUCGGAUGUCCCCCGGUAUGACCCCGUAAAGCACGGCAGCCCCCAGGGUGGCCCCCGCCAGCUGGGCAGCCACAUAGGCCAUGGCACGGGGCAGGGAGAUCUGGGAGCCCACGAGGAAGGCCAGAGUCACGGCAGGGUUGAUGUGGCCCCCACUGGUCUUCCAGGUGAUCUGCACAGCCACGGCCGUGGCCAGGUUGAAGGUGAUGGCCAUCUGGAGCACGGUGGGAAGCGCCGUGGGCCAGGGCAGGGCCGAGCCCACCCCGAAGAACACGUAGAGCCCCGUGGCCAGGAACUCCGCGAACAGCGCCCUGCUGGCCGCUCUCCAGAGGUCGCCCAGCAGCAUCCCGGCCACUCCCCGCUGCCCCGGCCACGUCCCGCUGCCUCCGCUGCUUCGGGCCGCUCUGCUGGCCUCUGAUCUCGGCUACCUCCUGGGGUCCCUUGCCUCUGGCCUGGCUCCUCCGGCCCCCCACCUGCAGCCCCUCUCCUUGGCUACUGCCCCAGGGACCCGCUGCUCGGACUGGCAGGGGACAGGCCAAGGGGACACUGUGUGUCCGGACGGGGAGGCGUGGGGCUGAUAUGCGGAGCGCUCACAUGCUUGCUCCACCCCAGCUCACCUGACAGCUGGGGG